CAUAGGUUUUUAUAUACUGUCUGGAACAAUUGAGCACCAAGCCUGAUGCAGAUGUAGAUACCACACAUCUUUCUGUUGACGUUUCUUCUCCUGAUUUGUUUGGAAGUAUCCAUGAAGACUUCAGCUUGACCUCUGAACAGCGACUUCUGAUAGUCCUCAGUAAUUGCUGCUAUCUAGAACGUCAUACCUUCCUAAAUAUAGCAGAACAUUUUGAAAAGCACAACUUCCAGGGAAUAGAAAAAAUAACAC